rnacentral:rRNA from 1 species
AGCUGGGCGGGCGUGCUAUACAUGCAGUCGACGCUUCUUUCCUCCCGAGUGCUUGCACUCAAUUGGAAAGAGGAGUGGCGGACGGGUGAGUAACACGUGGGUAACCUACCCAUCAGAGGGGGAUAACACUUGGAAACAGGUGCUAAUACCGCAUAACAGUUUAUGCCGCAUGGCAUAAGAGUGAAAGGCGCUUUCGGGUGUCGCUGAUGGAUGGACCCGCGGUGCAUUAGCUAGUUGGUGAGGUAACGGCUCACCAAGGCCACGAUGCAUAGCCGACCUGAGAGGGUGAUCGGCCACACUGGGACUGAGACACGGCCCAGACUCCUACGGGAGGCAGCAGUAGGGAAUCUUCGGCAAUGGACGAAAGUCUGACCGAGCAACGCCGCGUGAGUGAAGAAGGUUUUCGGAUCGUAAAACUCUGUUGUUAGAGAAGAACAAGGACGUUAGUAACUGAACGUCCCCUGACGGUAUCUAACCAGAAAGCCACGGCUAACUACGUGCCAGCAGCCGCGGUAAUACGUAGGUGGCAAGCGUUGUCCGGAUUUAUUGGGCGUAAAGCGAGCGCAGGCGGUUUCUUAAGUCUGAUGUGAAAGCCCCCGGCUCAACCGGGGAGGGUCAUUGGAAACUGGGAGACUUGAGUGCAGAAGAGGAGAGUGGAAUUCCAUGUGUAGCGGUGAAAUGCGUAGAUAUAUGGAGGAACACCAGUGGCGAAGGCGGCUCUCUGGUCUGUAACUGACGCUGAGGCUCGAAAGCGUGGGGAGCAAACAGGAUUAGAUACCCUGGUAGUCCACGCCGUAAACGAUGAGUGCUAAGUGUUGGAGGGUUUCCGCCCUUCAGUGCUGCAGCAAACGCAUUAAGCACUCCGCCUGGGGAGUACGACCGCAAGGGUGAACUCAAAGGAAUGACGGGGGCCCGCMCAAGCGGUGGAGCAUGUGGUUAAUUCGAAGCAACGCGAGACUACAGGUCUUGACAUCCUUUGACCACUCUAGAGAUAGAGCUUCCUCCGGGACAAGUGACUGUGGUGCAUGGUGUCGUCAGCUCGUGUUCGKGAGAAAUGKUU